CGGGGGAACUGAAACAUCUAAGUACCCCGAGGAAAAGAAAUCAACCGAGAUUCCCCCAGUAGCGGCGAGCGAACGGGGAGCAGCCCAGAGCCUGAAUCAGUGUGUGUGUUAGUGGAAGCGUCUGGAAAGGCGCGCGAUACAGGGUGACAGCCCCGUACACAAAAAUGCACAUGCUGUGAGCUCGAUGAGUAGGGCGGGACACGUGGUAUCCUGUCUGAAUAUGGGGGGACCAUCCUCCAAGGCUAAAUACUCCUGACUGACCGAUAGUGAACCAGUACCGUGAGGGAAAGGCGAAAAGAACCCCGGCGAGGGGAGUGAAAAAGAACCUGAAACCGUGUACGUACAAGCAGUGGGAGCCUCUUUAUGGGGUGACUGCGUACCUUUUGUAUAAUGGGUCAGCGACUUAUAUUCUGUAGCAAGGUUAACCGAAUAGGGGAGCCGAAGGGAAACCGAGUCUUAACUGGGCGUUAAGUUGCAGGGUAUAGACCCGAAACCCGGUGAUCUAGCCAUGGGCAGGUUGAAGGUUGGGUAACACUAACUGGAGGACCGAACCGACUAAUGUUGAAAAAUUAGCGGAUGACUUGUGGCUGGGGGUGAAAGGCCAAUCAAACCGGGAGAUAGCUGGUUCUCCCCGAAAGCUAUUUAGGUAGCGCCUCGUGAAUUCAUCUCCGGGGGUAGAGCACUGUUUCGGCAAGGGGGUCAUCCCGACUUACCAACCCGAUGCAAACUGCGAAUACCGGAGAAUGUUAUCACGGGAGACACACGGCGGGUGCUAACGUCCGUCGUGAAGAGGGAAACAACCCAGACCGCCAGCUAAGGUCCCAAAGUCAUGGUUAAGUGGGAAACGAUGUGGGAAGGCCCAGACAGCCAGGAUGUUGGCUUAGAAGCAGCCAUCAUUUAAAGAAAGCGUAAUAGCUCACUGGUCGAGUCGGCCUGCGCGGAAGAUGUAACGGGGCUAAACCAUG
rnacentral:rRNA from 1 species